GAUUAGAGUUUCAUUCUUUUCGUUCUUCCAGUUUCUUUCUCGCCGUCAACGGUUAACUUAAUCUGCAAACCCAAAGAUUUUUCCUUUCAUCUCUUAACCUCCCCUAUCAUUCAACGUAUCUUAAUUUCACCAAUAAUUUUUUUUUUUUUGUAACUGGCUUCAAUUUCACCAAUAAUUGUUAUCCACAUUUCACUUAGUUACCAUUUCAACCUCUUUGGAUUCUUCAUGACAAAUCUAUAAAUAGGAGAAAUACAUUGAACGAUGUCGACCUCUCCGUUAUGGACGUAUGGUAUCUUAAGAGUUGAAUUUUGCAGGUACAACACAAUCAGAAAUAUCAAAAGCUUCACGGAAAGAAUCAAAGGCAGUGGAUCUCAGAGGACCUAUGAAUGCUUAUCUCGCAUUGUCAUCACCUGCAGUGAGUUUCAUCUAAACAUGGAGAUUUGAUCGUAUCCUUCUCGUCUCUUUAGAGCUGUAAGUUUUUUUUUUCUUUUUUUUUUCUGGCCUUUUUAUUCUUGAUCGUUGUACAUAAUCUCAGCCUCUUUCUCAAAACUGGUCUCUUCUCUAAGAUUUGUGUCACUACGAGAAUUAUGUGAUUCGCGGUUCCAACUCUAUUGAGCAGGUAACACCCAUUCUUUAAACAUAUUUUAGUACUCUUAUGUUGUUCCAGAAUAGACUCAACUCAACUAAGGUUAGCACUGUUGUCCUCCUCAAGACACAUGAAACUGAUUUUGUUUUCAAGUCUUAAAAUUGUUGGUCAGAUUUUUGGUGUCCUCCAACAAAAUGGCUGGUCCGUUGUUUGUUGCACAACUUGUAGUAGGAAGCUUACAAAGGAAACCGAUGUGUUUCUUCCACCUUGACAGGAGUCAUCAGGUUCUGUGUUGAACUAGGUAUUGUUGACGGAAGGGACAGACAACAGAGAUGACAAAACUCAUCAAGGAGGUAGCAAGUCUGACUCUUGAGGAAUUAGUAGCGGUGAGGAAAUGGAGCUACCAAAAUGUCCUUUUCAAGCUACAGCCUCACUCCAAAUCACUGUACGUUCACAGUCUCAGCAAUCAGUGAAGCUUCACAUCUUAUUUGGCACUCAGGCAGAGGUAGGACGAACAAUAUAUAGAAUCUGCCAGCAACAUAUAUGAUGCGCCAAAGGUUUCACUGAGAGUUGGUGAAGCAAGUCUGCAAGGUUCUGCAGCCGACGAUAACAAAUCCCCCCUGAGUGAUUCUCGCAAGGCCAUCUAACCGUCGACCUCUCUGUUUUAAUUAUCUAUUUCUAAGUGUUUUCUCUACUUUGAAGUGUGAAGUUUGGUUCUCUUUGAUUUGAUGUACACUAUUUCUUACCGGUGUAAAAAUUACUAUGACUUUAAUAAUAAAAGGAGUUUGUUUAAAAAAAAA